rfam:Nasonia vitripennis chromosome 4, whole genome shotgun sequence.
GUAGACGUUAGCUCACUGGUUAGAGCACAGGCCUCUGGCUAUCGGGUCCGCGAGUUCGAGUCCCGUCGUCUACU